GCACUUCGGGAUAAGCCUGGGAAACUGGGUCUAAUACCGGAUAUACCUCAGUGGUUGCAUGACUGUGGUGGAAAGCUUUUGCGGUGUGGGAUGGGCCCGCGGCCUAUCAGCUUGUUGGUGGGGUGAUGGCCUACCAAGGCGACGACGGGUAGCCGGCCUGAGAGGGUGUCCGGCCACACUGGGACUGAGAUACGGCCCAGACUCCUACGGGAGGCAGCAGUGGGGAAUAUUGCACAAUGGGCGCAAGCCUGAUGCAGCGACGCCGCGUGAGGGAUGACGGCCUUCGGGUUGUAAACCUCUUUCAGUGCCGACGAAGCGUAAGUGACGGUAGGCGUAGAAGAAGCACCGGCCAACUACGUGCCAGCAGCCGCGGUAAUACGUAGGGUGCGAGCGUUGUCCGGAAUUACUGGGCGUAAAGAGCUCGUAGGUGGUUUGUCGCGUUGUUCGUGAAAACUCACAGCUCAACUGUGGGCGUGCGGGCGAUACGGGCAGACUGGAGUACUGCAGGGGAGACUGGAAUUCCUGGUGUAGCGGUGGAAUGCGCAGAUAUCAGGAGGAACACCGGUGGCGAAGGCGGGUCUCUGGGCAGUAACUGACGCUGAGGAGCGAAAGCGUGGGGAGCGAACAGGAUUAGAUACCCUGGUAGUCCACGCCGUAAACGGUGGGUACUAGGUGUGGGUUUCCUU
rnacentral:rRNA from 1 species